AGUGAACGCUGGCGGUAGGCCUAACACAUGCAAGUCGAACGGCAGCACAGUAAGAGCUUGCUCUUACGGGUGGCGAGUGGCGGACGGGUGAGGAAUACAUCGGAAUCUACUUUUUCGUGGGGGAUAACGUAGGGAACCUUACGCUAAUACCGCAUACGACCUACGGGUGAAAGCAGGGGAUCUUCGGCCCUUGCGCGAUUGAAUGAGCCGAUGUCGGAUUAGCUAGUUGGCGGGGUAAAGGCCCACCAAGGCGACGAUCCGUAGCUGGUCUGAGAGGAUGAUCAGCCACACUGGAACUGAGACACGGUCCAGACUCCUACGGGAGGCAGCAGUGGGGAAUAUUGGACAAUGGGCGCAAGCCUGAUCCAGCCAUACCGCGUGGGUGAAGAAGGCCUUCGGGUUGUAAAGCCCUUUUGUUGGGAAAGAAAAGCAGCAGGUUAAUACCCCGCUGUUCUGACGGUACCCAAAGAAUAAGCACCGGCUAACUUCGUG
rnacentral:rRNA from 1 species